rnacentral:rRNA from 1 species
UACGGAGGGUGCAAGCGUUGCUCGGAAUUAUUGGGCGUAAAGGGUAGGUAGGUGGUCUUAUUUGUCCAGGGUGAAAUCCUUGAGCUUAACUCAAGAAGUGCCCUGGAAACGGUGAGACUUGAGUCCUGGAGAGGGUCGUGGAAUUCCCGGUGUAGCGGUGAAAUGCGUAGAGAUCGGGAGGAACACCAGAGGCGAAGGCGGCGACCUGGACAGGCACUGACACUCAACUACGAAAGCGUGGGGAGCAAACAGGAUUAGAUACCCUGGUAGUCCACGCUGUAAACGAUGGGUACUAGGUUUGGCGGGUCUUGACCCCUGCUGAACCGGCGCUAACGCACUAAGUACCCCGCCUGGGAAGUACGGUCGCAAGACUAAA